AUGAGGACAGAUCCUCACCUGCAGAUCUUAAAAAAAUUGAUAAUGCAUCUGAUGCGAACAACCAUCACCCUGCCACAACAACUCGACACCAACCGCGGUCUCGCAAGCCCUUCCGCCGUGCCACCACGUCUCCAAUCCGCACGCUGCUACAAACCCAAUCAUUGGCCGCCAUCGUCCAAUCGUGAAUCACCGGAAAUUCAUCGACAUCCAUCACCUCUCAAGCCUCAGCGUAAAACUGCGAACUUUGGUCAUCACCUUCAGAUAAUCUAG